rnacentral:rRNA from 1 species
GACGAACGCUGGCGGCGUGCUUAACACAUGCAAGUCGAGCGGUAAGGCCCUUUCGGGGGUACACGAGCGGCGAACGGGUGAGUAACACGUGGGUGACCUGCCUUUAGCUCUGGGAUAAGCCUGGGAAACCGGGUCUAAUACCGGAUAUGACUCCGCGGCGCAUGUUGUGGGGUGGAAAGCCUUGUGCGGCUGGAGAUGGGCCCGCGGCCUAUCAGCUUGUUGGUGGGGUGAUGGCCUACCAAGGCGACGACGGGUAGCCGGCCUGAGAGGGCGACCGGCCACACUGGGACUGAGACACGGCCCAGACUCCUACGGGAGGCAGCAGUGGGGAAUCUUGCGCAAUGGGCGAAAGCCUGACGCAGCGACGCCGCGUGAGGGAUGACGGCCUCGGUUG